rnacentral:rRNA from 1 species
CUGCCAGACUCCUACGGGAGGCAGCAGUGAGGAAUAUUGGUCAAUGGCCGGGAGGCUGAACCAGCCAAGUCGCGUGAGGGAAGACGGCCCUACGGGUUGUAAACCUCUUUUGUCAGGGAGCAAGGUGCAGGUCGGGACCUGCUGUGAGAGUACCUGAAGAAAAAGCAUCGGCUAACUCCGUGCCAGCAGCCGCGGUAAUACGGAGGAUGCGAGCGUUAUCCGGAUUUAUUGGGUUUAAAGGGUGCGCAGGCGGCGUGUCAAGCAAGCGGUAAAAUAGCGGGGCUCAACCCCGUCGAGCCGUUUGAACUGGCGCGCUUGAGUUCAGGCGAGGUAGGCGGAAUUCGUGGUGUAGCGGUGAAAUGCAUAGAUAUCACGAAGAACUCCGAUUGCGAAGGCAGCUUACCAGUCUGCGACUGACGCUCAGGCACGAAAGUGUGGGUAUCGAACAGGAUUAGAUACCCCUGUAUAA